GGUUGCCCUACUAUUGUAGUAGUUGUGGGAGUCUCCUAGUGGGUGCGUGAUUCUAGCGGCAGCCAUUCAAUGCUGCUCAUGUUCUGUUCUCAGGAGAAACCUUACCGUUGUAACGGGCUGGCGCCGGCGACUACCGAUCUCCACGCAUGAAUCCUGCAGGAAAGCCUGAAGAAUACCUUUCUCCAAGUGUGCCUGACCCACUCUCACCCCACAUGUCAUCACUACUCACCUGCCCUAAAGCUUUCAGCAUUGGAGCUCUGCCCUGAUAGAUUACUUACCUAAGGAAGCUCAUUUGAACUUUGCUCCCACAUUAAUCAUUCUUGAGAAAAAGAAAAAUAGCUCUGUUUCCUGUUUAGUAACCUACCUAAAGACACUUACCUGAAGACUGCUGCUG
ensembl:lncRNA